GUGAAAACGCCCUUCCCCCCCUAAAUAUGGGGGAAGGAGCUGGUAUCAGGCUCAACUGCCCAUAACACCUAGCUCUGCCACACCCCCAAGGGUAUUCAGCAGUGAUAAACAUUGAAAACUAGCGCAAGCUAAAUUCAGUUACAAGCUAAAAAAACCGGUCAAUCUCGUGCCAGCCACCGCGGUUAUACGGGUAGGUUUACAUUGAUAACAUCGGCACAAAGCGUGGUUAGAUAGACUCAAAAUAAAGCAAAAAUUUAGCCCGGCUGUGAUAAGCUUUCGCUUAAAGUAACCCCAACCACGAAAGUAGCUUUACCAACAAUUGAACCCACGAUCGCUAGAACACAAACUGGGAUUAGAUACCCCACUAUGCCUAGCCCUAAACUUUGAUAUUCUCCGCCUGGGGACUACGAGCGUUAGCUUAAAACCCAAAAGACUUGGCGGUGCCCUACACCACCUAGAGGAGCCUGUUCUAUAAUCGAUAAUCCCCGAUCAACCUCACCAUCUCUUGCCAAUACCGCCUGUAUACCUCCGUCGUCAACUGACCCCUCAAGGGAAAUAGUUGGUUUAAUGGCUUACCACCAGAAAGUCAGGUCAAGGUGCAGCGUAUGAGAUGGAAAGAAAUGGGCUACAUUUUCUACCUUUAGACUACACGAAAGAUCACUAUGAAAUCUGAUUGGAAGGCGGAUUUAGCAGUAAAAAGAGAUUAGAGCGCUCUUUUUAAGUUGGCCCUAGGGCGCGCACACACCGCCCGUCACCCCC
rnacentral:rRNA from 1 species